UGGGGAAUAUUGCACAAUGGGCGCAAGCUUGAUGCAGCGACGCCGCGUGAGGGAUGACGGCUUUCGGGUUGUAAACCUCUUUCGAUGGGGAACAAGGCCAUAUUUUUGUGUGGUUGAGGGUACCUGUAUAAGAAGCGCCGGCUAACUACGUGCCAGCAGCCGCGGUAAUACGUAGGGCGCGAGCGUUGUCCGGAAUUAUUGGGCGUAAAGAGCUCGUAGGCGGCUUGUCGCGUCUGCUGUGAAAACGCGGGGCUUAACUCCGCGCUUGCAGUGGGUACGGGCAGGCUUGAGUGUAGUAGGGGAGACUGGAAUUCCUGGUGUAGCGGUGGAAUGCGCAGAUAUCAGGAGGAACACCGAUGGCGAAGGCAGGUCUCUGGGCUAUUAC
rnacentral:rRNA from 1 species